rnacentral:rRNA from 1 species
GAUGAACGCUGGCGGCGUGCCUAAUACAUGCAAGUCGAGCGAACAGACGAGGAGCUUGCUCCUCUGACGUUAGCGGCGGACGGGUGAGUAACACGUGGAUAACCUACCUAUAAGACUGGGAUAACUUCGGGAAACCGGAGCUAAUACCGGAUAAUAUAUUGAACCGCAUGGUUCAAUAGUGAAAGACGGUUUUGCUGUCACUUAUAGAUGGAUCCGCGCCGCAUUAGCUAGUUGGUAAGGUAACGGCUUACCAAGGCAACGAUGCGUAGCCGACCUGAGAGGGUGAUCGGCCACACUGGAACUGAGACACGGUCCAGACUCCUACGGGAGGCAACAGUAGGGAAUCUUACGCAAUGGGCGAAAGCUUGACGGAGCAACGCCGCGUGAGUGAUGAAGGUCUUCGGAUCGUAAAACUCUGUUAUUAGGGAAGAACAAAUGUGUAAGUAACUAUGCACGUCUUGACGGUACCUAAUCAGAAAGCCACGGCUAACUACGUG